rnacentral:rRNA from 1 species
UACGUAGGUGGCGAGCGUUGUCCGGAAUUACUGGGUGUAAAGGGAGCGCAGGCGGGGGGCCAAGUUGGAUGUGAAAUACCGCAGCUCAACUGCGGGGCUGCAUCCAAAACUGGUUCUCUUGAGUGGAGUAGAGGUAGGCGGAAUUCCUAGUGUAGCGGUGAAAUGCGUAGAUAUUAGGAGGAACACCAGUGGCGAAGGCGGCCUACUGGGCUCUAACUGACGCUGAGGCUCGAAAGCGUGGGGAGCAAACAGUAUUAGAUACCCUGGUAGU